AGCUUCCAGGAGAAACUUGGUGUUAGUGAUAUUGUUAAAUUUUACUAUUUUUGUGAGAAAUAUUGCAGAAUAUGAUAAAUAAUUGGCCGCCUCAUCUAAUUCCGGCCAGAUGAAACAAUAUUGGUGAGGAGCCCAUUUUACCCCACCUUCGCCUAAUUGGACUAGUAAAAUUUGAGGAUACUUGACUACACUAAACUUAGUCUGAUUAGCAUUGUUACUCUGUAUUUCGAUGAUUCGAAGUAACUUGCUCAGUAAAUGAUCAGUUGGAAGUAGCAUCUGAAGUGGCUUAUGAGUUCCUGAGGAGAGGUAUGGGACGAUGACAAGAUUGAAGAGAAUUUCAAAAGCUCCAUUAAUUAUUUGCUAAGGAAAAAUUGAGCCCAUCCUCCUAGCAAUCCUUCAAUUAUUCAGCCCUAAAUGCCUAAAGUAGAUAUCAAUUUUCGACCAUCCAUCUACGGUUGAACGGAUAGUGAUUGGCUGAGAUUUCAAAAAAGCUGAACCUAUAACAAAUGACUUUCCACUAGCUGAUCCAGUUACUUAUUCACCAUUCGGGAGUACGAUUAAGUUCCUGCUCGAGGAUUCAUCCACUAGGAUUCAUUUUCUUCGUUAUGAUUCCUUGGAUUGGUAGGCAUUAUCAGAGCUAUUGCAGCAUCAUGGGUCAAUGCUCGAUUUUGGCCUAACUGUCAAGCAGUUCAUGUCACGGCUGCUGCCAUAUGCUGGUGAACAAAAUAGAUUUUUGUAGCUAUCAUCAUUCAAUCACUACCUUUUUACUCUCACGGCCUGUAUUGGCCACGCUCCUUCUCCAUAGUAAAGGUAGAAUCCUACACCAUGUUAUAUACUACAUU